rnacentral:lncRNA from 1 species
CCGCAGCUGUUGCUUGAGGACCUAAUCCCAACAUUCCUCCAGGGGCGGCACAGCCCACUGCCGGCUGGAAGGGCGCUGGGGCCACCCAUUCACACCUUCCACGGAGGGUCAGGGUUCCCGCCAGCCUGGUGCCCCAGAAGAGGACCUGGCAAGUGUGGAAUCCACAAGCACCGCCCUGAGCGUGUCCUCGGGCAGCAGCCCUGGCUGAGAAUCCUCCUUCCUCCACGCGCCCCGUGUGUCACAUGCCGAAUCCGCCGCCUUGUCGCCCUUCCCCUCCUCCCCCUGGAACACGCCAGUCACCUCCGCCCCAGCCAGGAUUCUAAUCUUCUGCAGCGACAGAGCUCCAGGCCUGGGGGUGCUACCCCCACGUCCCUGGAGGACGUUUUGCCUUCCUGACGACUCGGAUGCUCCUGACGCCGGGUGUGUGGACGUCGAGGAGUGCCUGCCUGAGGGAGCCGCCCCACGUAACAAAUGGCACUCCCUACGGUGCUGAUGGAUGUCUUCGCCUGAUCGUAAAACUCCAGAGGAAGUCAAAUUCGGGUUCUCAAAACCUUGGAGAUAUUCCUUGAAUUUAUUAUGUGACCUGAUAAAUUAUUGAAUCCGAGUCCUCCUGUACCUUUCACAGGUGGGCCUGCAACGCAGCCUGUCCCGUGGAUCCAGGGGCCUUGCCUGCUGUGGGUCAAGGUUCCCACUAGAAAUGCGCUUCUGAGAACUCAGGCUGGGAGUCCAGAAUCCCAGGUCAGAGGGCAGCAAAGCCUGAGGGGUCCCCCAGGGUGGCCUGUGGGACCCUCCCUACCCCGCAGCCCAGAGUCUGGGCAUUCUGCUGGCCAGCCAUCCCUCAGGCCCCUGAGGACCAUCCCCAGGGAAUGGGGGGCUCAAAGUCCCCAACUUCCUCUGCAAACCAACCUUCGGGAGGGGGAAUCCCUGCCCCUGGAUGCUGCCAGAUCGUCCCUCUCCUUGAGCCUGGGCAGGGUCAGCGAAUGGGACGGAAAACCUCUCCCAAGAUUAGGGUGCUAAUCAAUCAACUGCCGUUAAUAAAAAAGAAGAUUCUGCUGGGUGGGCCUGGCCUAAUCAGGCAAAUCCUUCAGAAGGAGAAGCAUGAGAAAGACACCAUCCUGCUGGCCUCAAAGAAGGAGGCUGACAGCCAGGUCGUGACCUCUGCAUGGGGGCCACAUGUCAAGGAUCUGCAGGCAGCCUCUGGCCCAGAGCCACAGACAGCGGGGACCUCAUGUACAACCACAAGGGACUGAAUCCUGCCAACUUUGUGAACAAGUCUGGGAGAAGCCCCAAGCCUCUGAAGAGACCCCAGCCCCACACCCUUGAUUUCAGCCCAGCGGGACCCUGAGCAGAGGAACCAGCGUGCCAUGCAGGACUUCCGAGCCACAGAACCGUGAGAUAAUAAGUGGGUGGUGUUCUAAGUGUCUAAACGUGUGGCCACUUGUUACACAGAACAGGAAACUAACACAAAACUGAAAUUCGAACUGUGAAAUAUCAGAAAACUUCAAGGGGCAUCGACUGGGACCCCCGCCCCCUCCCAUCUCCAUGUGGCUUCGGGGGUUGGGGGAGCGAUGAGAAGGAUUCUGAGCUUGCCCCUGGGUCCAUGGGAAUGGCACCAUCAUGGGGCGGCGAUGUCCCUGGAUGGCAGCUGGGGAGUGUGGCACAUGGGCCAUAUGUGCAGGCUCGGGCUCGACCGAAGGCUUCAUAUCAGCCUGCUGGGGAGAUGGCCCCACAGGUGCUCCUUCCCCACCUCGCACCCCAUGUCACCUGCCUUCCUCUUUGAGAUGAUAGAUAAUGCCAUCACGCCCUGCAUCCUGGUCCGGGCAGCCGUGAGCAUCCUGCUCCACAGACAACAAAGCCAGGAAUCGCAGCCGCUGGUGAUUCCAUCCAGGGCCAGACGGGGAGCCCCCGUUCCCCUCCCCCGACUCUGGCACCCACGGGCCUCGCGCCUCUGCAGUCCUCCUGGUCCCCUGCUUCUCCUCCCUCAAGAUGCUUCUCCUGCAUCACCCCCACCCCUGCCCCACAGAGACUCCCCAGCCCCCCACGAAGCUAAUCCCACCCAGAUCUGAGGAAGCCAGAUUGUCAACCAACUACCUCAUGCUCUGCUUGGGAACCCCAUGGUGGAAGCGUGGGACCCACUGAGGAACACCACCCGUGGACUGCCCCCCGGCAGAACCCCCACCCAAAGACGCCCCAGGAACAUCUCCAGGGGAACCCCACCCACAGAAGCCCACUGAGAACAGGCUGCAGAGUCUCGCCGAGGCGCUCGUGGCCCCCGCCAGGACCCCACUGGCUGCGGAUGCAAGGCCGGGAUGACUGGUGAUCUAGCAGGUGGUUUGGUGGCUGCGUGGAGGGGCAGAGGGGUCAGAGCGGGACAGGGAGGCCCCGCUGGGUGGGAACAAGGCAGCUUGGCAGGGGCUGAGGGUGGAGGGCCAUGGCCACCCACAUCCACAUCCGGGUGCUGUGCGAGGUGAGGCAGCACAGGGCAGUGCACCCCGAGCCUUCCAGCUGGAGCAGACGUGAGACAGGCUCUCGGUGGGUGUGGAGCGGGUGGACAGCAAGAGAAGGAAUGGAUGCAGCGACGGAGGAGCCUGGCGGCUCGGGUCCCUCCCAGCAGCAGGCGGUGCUCAGAUGCCCCGUCCUUGUCUUUCUGCAGCGCCCCCACCACUCUCUCCCCGGUGGCCUCAGGCACCUUCCCCGAGCAGCUGCCCGAAGCCCAGGUCCCCUGCAUGUGGGUCACCUCAGCCCCAGCCAUGAGCGGGGUCCUAGGCAUGCUCAGCUCCUUGGAGAGGACGUCUCACUCGCCCUGGGGGCGGGGCAUCCCCCACCUGCCCUCAGCCCCCUCCCUGCCUGGUCCCUCGCCUGAGGGGAGAGGCUCCAGUGUCAGCGAAGCCCCCUCCCUGCCCCCAGCACGGCCCUGGGGAGGGCCUGGGCCCAGAGCCACUCAGGCGCCCAGACUCCACCACUCUUCUGAGCCACAAGCAAGCCGAAGCGGGCAGGCGGUGGCUCUCACCAAGGGUGCAGCAGACACCUAUUGAGCGCUUGCUGUAUACAGAGCAUCUCGUAUUCAGCACCGCACAGCAUCUUCACAACAAGCCAGAGACCCGGGUCUGGUUUUAGUCCCGAGGCGGCAGCAUGGGGGCUGAGGCCAGUGGGCAGGGCCACACGCCAACUCCUGACAAGGACUGAGGGGCUCUCGCGGUGGCUCCCAGGGCUCAUCAGUACCCCCACCGCCCCCUCCCAGAGCCCCCCAAGUGGGCCCUCCCUGCUUGCUUCCUGAGCACCAGAGAGCUUGGUAUCGACCGAGCACAGACUGGCAUUGAUUGGCUGAAAGGUGAAACCUGAAAUGGCCCCAUUGCCGGGAAACAGGACUUUUAAUUGUUUAGGCAGCUAGUCUCUGGUCGCCUCCCAGGAAGCAGGGGGCGGACAGGAGGUGGGGGGCUUGGAUCCGUCCACAACCACAGGGCCGGUGCAGGGAGGGCUAGGGGUGGGAGCCCCACAUCACCCAGUGCCCUGGCCGGGGCCUGCAGGAGGCCAGGGCCAGCGCCGGGGGUUUUUCCUCAGGGCCCUGGUCAGUGUGGCAGGCGUGGGACUCGGGCCCCGAGGCAGCUGCAGGAAGUGGUGCCAGCUCUGAAUCCCGAUGUUUGCUCCUAGCUCUGCAUUUUCUGCCAGGAGACCUAGGCAAGUUGCUUAGGCCCUCUGUGCCUCAGUUUCCCCAUCUAUAAAAUAAAAUGCCGACCACAGAUGAGGUUCGGUCUGGUUGAGUUACUGCGUCAUCGCCCCGCGGAGCUUCUGGCUCAGGGUGUUGGUGCACUUAAGGGCGGCCGUUACUUUAAAGGAAACUUCCAAUGAAAU